CCCAACUGUGUUUCACCUGUGCCCUCUCAUCCAAGCCUCCAUUUUGUUUACAGUCUCCCUGCUGCCUUGGUCUUUCAACUUUCAUUUGGAGUCUCGUGUAUCUGAGUUCCUUCGUGCCGGCCAACCUGCACACAGAGACUGACAGGUGAAACAGACGAUUGUACGGUCAAGAAAACCUGCAAAUAAUACAGAUUCCCUUCUCUGAUUCGUCUUCAUGGAUGAUGUCAUUGAACCCUUGAAGCUACUGCAAAUUAAGAUGGAAGAUGUUCCCCUGACUGACUUUGUCAAGGACACUGGUAGCGUUCCAGAACGGAUGGUGGGAGCGGUCAAGCACCAGGCUUAUGAAUGCACCAUCGUCAGGUUGGCUCACCAGCCGGCUGGAGAGAGUCUGGGCUGCGAAUGUAAAUGGCCAACCAUGUCCUCUCCCUCUGCAACUGCUGCCGGAUUGCUCUGGAGCAAGGCACUUGACCCCUUACUUAAACUGUGUCUCUGUAACCGCUGGUGCAGCCUGGAGGACUGAUGGCAGUGGAGCUCCCUGGUGUGAAUGAAGCUGUACAGUGGGUCACUGCAAAAACAAUAAAACAUUGUCCUGUAAAAAUAUUAUAGAUUGUAUAA